AGGUAAAGAUAUUAGGGCUAUCAAUUAAGCGCAGUUAACUCACGCGAUUAACUCAACAAAAUUAAUCGCGAUUAAUCGCAGUUUUAAUCGCACUGUUAAACACUAGAAUACCAACUGAAAUUUAUUAACUAUUUUGGAUGUUUUUCUACA